GAUGAACGCUGGCGGCGUGCCUAAUACAUGCAAGUCGAGCGAACGGACGAGAAGCUUGCUUCUCUGAUGUUAGCGGCGGACGGGUGAGUAACACGUGGAUAACCUACCUAUAAGACUGGGAUAACUUCGGGAAUCCGGAGCUAAUACCGGAUAAUAUUUUGAACCGCAUGGUUCAAAAGUAAAAGACGGUCUUGCUGUCACUUAUAGAUGGAUCCGCGCUGCAUUAGCUAGUUGGUAAGGUAACGGCUUACCAAGGCAACGAUGCAUAGCCGACCUGAGAGGGUGAUCGGCCACACUGGAACUGAGACACGGUCCAGACUCCUACGGGAGGCAGCAGUAGGGAAUCUUCCGCAAAGGGCGAAAGCCUGACGGAGCAACGCCGCGUGAGUGAUGAAGGUCUUCGGAUCGUAAAACUCUGUUAUUAGGGAAGAACAUAUGUGUAAGUAACUGUGCACAUCUUGACGGUACCUAAUCAGAAAGCCACGGCUAACUACGUG
rnacentral:rRNA from 1 species